rnacentral:rRNA from 1 species
AUUGAACGCUGGCGGCAGGCCUAACUCAUGCAAGUCGAGCGAGCGGCGGACGGGUGAGUAAUGUCUGGGAAACUGCCUGAUGGAGGGGGAUAACUACUGGAAAAGGUAGCUAAUACCGCAUACCAUCAGAUGUGCCCAGAUGGGAUUAGCUGGUAGGUGGGGUAACGGCUCACCUAGGCGACGAUCCCUAGCUGGUCUGAGAGGAUGACCAUGCACACGUGAACUGAGACACGGUCCAGACUCCUACGGGAGGAAGCAGUGGGGAAUAUUGCACAAUGGGCGCAAGCCUGAUGCAGCCAUGCCGCGUGUAUCAAGAAGGCCUUCGGGUUGUAAAGUACUUUCAGCGGGGAGGCGUUACCCGCAGAAGAAGCACCGGCUAACUCCGUGCCAGCAGCCGCGGUAAUAC